rnacentral:tRNA from 1 species
GGGCAUGUGGCGAAACUGGUAGACGCGCUGGACUCAAAAUCCAGUCUGGUUCACCCCAGGUGUGGGUUCGACUCCCUCCAUGCCCACCA